rnacentral:rRNA from 1 species
AUUGAACGCUGGCGGCAUGCCUUACACAUGCAAGUCGAACGGUUACAGGUCUUCGGAUGCUGACGAGUGGCGAACGGGUGAGUAAUACAUCGGAACGUGCCUAGUAGUGGGGGAUAACUACUCGAAAGAGUGGCUAAUACCGCAUGAGAUCUACGGAUGAAAGCAGGGGAUCGCAAGACCUUGUGCUACUAGAGCGGCCGAUGGCAGAUUAGGUAGUUGGUGGGAUAAAAGCUUACCAAGCCGACGAUCUGUAGCUGGUCUGAGCGGACGAUCAGCCACACUGGGACUGAGACACGGCCCAGACUCCUACGGGAGGCAGCAGUGGGGAAUUUUGGACAAUGGGCGAAAGCCUGAUCCAGCAAUGCCGCGUGCAGGAUGAAGGCCUUCGGGUUGUAAACUGCUUUUGUACGGAACGAAAAGCCCCGGGUUAAUAACCUGGGGUCAUGACGGUACCGUAAGAAUAAGCACCGGCUAACUACGUGCCAGCCGCCGCCGUAA